rnacentral:rRNA from 1 species
UUGAAAGGGAAACGAUUGAAGUCAGUCGUACCGACGAAAAAUCAGCUUUUCGAAUGUGCACUUGUGGGCGUAUGAGAUCUUCAUUGCUUGCAAUAUGUAUGUUUCUUUGGUGUACUUUUUCGUAUGGUAGGUCAACGUCGGUUUUGGUCGCCAUAAAAUGAUCGGAGGAAUGUAGCUUCGACCUCGGUUGAAGUGUUAUAGCCUUUGGUAGAUGUGGUGAUUAGGACCGAGGAUUGCAACGAAUACCUUUUAGGCUAUUCGUCUGACCUCUGAAAGUUACUUAGGUGCCGAAAGCUUGCUUACGGUCAUUUAAGUUGACGGUCAAUAGGUUAGAACGUGAUUACAUUCGUUAAGGAUGUUGACGUA